AGCAGUAGCCACGGGAAUACGAAGGGUGCAAGCGUUAAUCGGAAUUACUGGGCGUAAAGCGUGCGUAGGCGGUGAGUUAAGUCUGCUGUGAAAUCCCCGGGCUCAACCUGGGAAUGGCAGUGGAUACUGGCUCGCUAGAGUGUGUCAGAGGAUGGUGGAAUUCCCGGUGUAGCGGUGAAAUGCGUAGAGAUCGGGAGGAACAUCAGUGGCGAAGGCGGCCAUCUGGGACAACACUGACGCUGAGGCACGAAAGCGUGGGGAGCAAACAGGAUUAGAUACCCCCGUAGUCCCUGUCUCUUAUAA
rnacentral:rRNA from 1 species